rnacentral:rRNA from 1 species
GAUGAACGCUAGCUACAGGCUUAACACAUGCAAGUCGCGGGGCAGCAUGUCGGUUGCUUGCAACCGAUGAUGGCGACCGGCGCACGGGUGAGUAACACGUAUCCAACCUGCCCUUCACCACGGAAUAAUCCAGUGAAAAUUGGUCUAAUACCGUAUGAGGUCAUACGAUGGCAUCAGAAUAUGACGAAAGGUUUGGCGGUGAAGGAUGGGGAUGCGUCUGAUUAGCUUGUUGGUGAGGUAACGGCUCACCAAGGCGACGAUCAGUAGGGGUUCUGAGAGGAAGGUCCCCCACAUUGGAACUGAGACACGGUCCAAACUCCUACGGGAGGCAGCAGUGAGGAAUAUUGGUCAAUGGGCGAGAGCCUGAACCAGCCAAGUAGCGUGCAGGAAGACGGCCCUAUGGGUUGUAAACUGCUUUUAUAUGGGGAUAAAGUGAGUUACGUGUAGCUUAUUGCAGGUACCAUAUGAAUAAGGACCGGCUAAUUCCGUGCCAGCAGCCGCGGUAAUACGGAAGGUCCAGGCGUUAUCCGGAUUUAUUGGGUUUAAAGGGAGCGUAGGCCGCCCCUUAAGCGUGUUGUGAAAUGCCGCGGCUCAACCGUGGCACUGCAGCGCGAACUGGGGGGCUUGAGUGCACGCAACGCAGGCGGAAUUCGUGGUGUAGCGGUGAAAUGCUUAGAUAUCACGAAGAACUCCGAUUGCGAAGGCAGCUUGCGGGAGUGCGACUGACGCUGAAGCUCGAAGGUGCGGGUAUCGAACAGGAUUAGAUACCCUGGUAGUCCGCACAGUAAACGAUGGAUGCCCGCUGUGUGUCUUAAUGGUACGCGGCCAAGCGAAAGCGUUAAGCAUCUCACCUGGGG